UAAGUUAAACAAAAUUUUUUAGAAUAUAAAAUCCUUAAAAUGUAUAGGUUAAUUAUCAGACCCGAGUUUGACCCGUCCCUGAGAGUGACCCGAUCUGAAUUCUAUUUGAUCUGAUUAUUAUCCGAUCCAAACUAAGACCCGAACCCGAAAAUAACUGUGUUGCAAACUGACUUAAACCCGACUCGAUAAGACCCAAACCCGAAAUUAUCUGCUACAAACCGACUUAAACCCGACCCGAUAAGACCCGAACCCGAAAUCAAACCUGACCGAAAUGUGACCCGACUCGAACCCGACCUGAACCCGGGAUAGGAAAAAACCCGAUAUGACCCGACCUGAAAUCGACCCGACCGAACCCGAACUCAACCCGAAUGAAAUAUUGACCCGACACGACCCGACCUGAUCAUGACCCGAAACCCAAGAUGACCCGACCCAAACCCGACCCGAUGACCUGUUUUGACAGCUCUACUCCAUACACGUACGACUUCAAAAUCAUUCUCCUCCAUAAUUCAUCACCGGCCAUCAUCAUCACCGGCCAGCUUCACCACUUCUCAGUCACUCUUCGUCGGUCGUUCUUCGCAGUCAUCUGCGACCUAGCCGAUUAGUCAUCUGCGACCUAGCCUUCGAUUAGCUUCAUCAAUUUUUUCUCUCUUCCUGCUCUUGGUUGUUUAGGGUUUUUCGAAUUCGAUUAGUUAAUAGUUAAUUAUGCUUCGUAUUAUACUUUAGGGUUUAGGGUUUUCGAAUUAAAUGGAUAAUUUAGGGGUUAAUCUUGGUUGGGGUUUUCGGUUUUGUUGAUUUUUAAUGGUCAUUAUUUGAAAUUGCAGCAACGAAACAUUUGAACAGGGGUAUUGCUAAGUUUGUACUCAAACGGUGUCGGUUGCCGGCUUGCCGCCUCUCCUCUGCAGCACCUGUCUUCUUCUCUAUUCCGUUUGUGACAUCCUUCAAAGAAACUCCAUCAAGUAACAUCAGCAGUUAAAACUAGGCGAAUCAGCCUUAUUGAUCUUGUUGCAUUGUGAAGAGAUAAACAAGUUGAUGCCGGAAGAGAGUUUGAAAGGGAACGAAAAGAACUGAAGAGUUCUUUGUCACACUUUGGUAUUGGCAAACCGUGAAUAUUGCUAUCCAUGCAGUUCUAUAUCAAAAAUGGGUGGAAACCAAUGGUGUCUAAGUGGAAAAUUGAAUAUAGUGGUUCUAGCUUACAGUGGGGGCUGAGGAAAACAUGGUAGGACGUCUCCUACGAACAGGGGAAGCCAGUGCUUCAUAACAGGGGGAGUCAAUGCUCCAUAACAGGGGAAGCCAGUGCUUCAUUUCAGGGGGAACCUUGGUUCCAUAUCAGGGGAAGCCAGUGCUUCUUAUCAGGGGGAACCUUGGUUCCAUAUCAGGGGAAGCCAGUGCUUCUUAUCAGGGGGAGCAUGGGCUCCAUAUCAGGGGAACUUGACCAGUUCUUACACUUUUAUUUAUCAUGUUUACAUUUCUUUUAAUCGAACAUUAAUCAGGAAAAUCUCAAUCAUUCAGGGUGGUUCAAUAAACCAUUAAAUCUCGUUAUUUCAUAAAAUCAUUUCUUUCAGGAAUAAUAAUAAUUCAUUAAAUCAAUACUUUGCAUAAAGCUGCAUUAUCGUAAAACAAUUCAAUCAAAUCAUACUUGUAAUCCCGCAAUUCAUAAAACAUCAUUAUAAAACAUCAAUCAUUCAUAACAUCAUUCAUAAAUACAUUUCGAAGGGAAUGCGGGUACUAGCAAUAACCGUUACCUCAACUGUGGUUUUACCCUUCCUGUUUGAUGGAUCGUUCUCCCUGAGCUCCGAGUCUGAUUUCUUUCAAAGUAUUUAAUCAUUGAAUUAGUAUUAAAACGAUAACUACUUUAAAACUAAUUAUUUUUAUAAAUAUUUUUAGUUUAUAAAUUCAUAAAAUAACUUGAAUAAAGUAUUAUUAAAUUCCAUUAAAUCAAUACAUGAAAUAUUUUCAUAAAUCAAUAAAAUACUUAAAAAUCAAUAAUAUUUUUCAUAAAUCAACACAUGCAAUAUUUAUCAAAUUUUAAAUCAAAUUAGUUUCUAAAUCAUUUAUUUAAUUAUAAUAAUGCUAAAAUAAGUAGUAAUUUAUUUAGGGCUUAAAUUGGAUGGCAAAACUUACUUAGAGGUGUUUGGGCCUAAGGGUUUUGGGCUUAGCUUGAGCAACAAAAAGGAACAAAGUUCCAAUACUGGAACUUGUUUCUCGUGAAACUGGGCACGAAGAACAGAACCAAGGGAGGUGGGUGCUCGAAAUAGAGAAGCACGAAGGGAAGGAAGAGAGAAGGGAGGAGGGCGGCUAGGGGCUCGGUGCCGCCGAAUUGUGCCGGUGAAGGAAACGGAGGUGGUGGGUGGUUUGCGGCGGCAGAACCACGAGGAAGGAAGGGAGGUUGUGCGUAAAGAAGAGGGGAGGCAGGGGAUUUGUGGGCUGGGUGGUUCAGGGAGGUGCAGCGGUGGGACGACGGUGAGUGUGAAGGCGAAAAAUAAUUCAACCAGCAAGGGAGGUGGCUGAGUGGUGGUGGUCGCACCGGUGGUGGUGCGCCGGAGGAGAAAAAGAAAAAGAAACAGGGGUGCGCGAAGAUGGAAAAGCAGGGGAGGGGGAGGUACGGUGGCGGUCGAGUGGUGCUGGGGUGGUUGAGGAGGUGUUGAUCGGUGGGGAUAAUGGUGGUGGUGGUGGUUUCAGUGGCAGAAGCCACUGAUGGUGGUGGUGAUUCGCACAAGCAGGAAAACAAAAGGGGAGUAAAUUUGGUUUUUGAUUUAUUUGAUUUUUUUGGUUGAGAAACAAGAUGGCAAUUUGUGUCUGAUCAUAAAAACUAAGAAGAGUGAAGAAGAAGGAUCACCCCUUGGGGAGCAAGUAAUGAACCAAGACUGAUUUGAGGGAAGGGGAGUAAAAACAUACGUGGAAUGGAGGAAGGAGAUGAGAAAUGGAAUUUUGCUCUUCAAGGGCAUUUUAGUAAUUUUCCUUAGUUAGGCAAAUUUCUGAAAAUUUGGUGCUAUUUUAGGAAAUUAAUUAGAAUAGUAAUGUUUAAUUAAAAUCAAGUUUUCAAAUAAUUCUUUAUAAAAGUGUCGUUAACGAAAAAUAAAUUUCGUUUUCGAAUAAAAUAAGAACGUUAUUAAAUUAUGAAAAAUCCGAAAAUAAUUAAGAUUUAAAAAAGAUCGUUUAAGCACGUAAAUAUAAAAAUUAAAUUAUAUAAUCUGAAAAUAAUAAAUAAAUCGUGUAGCAAUUAUUAAAAAUUUAAGAUCGAAAUAAAGCUUCGUUAAUUAAAACAAAGUUCAAUUUAGGAUUUAAAACGAUUUUAAGCUAAAUAAAAAUUAUUAAGCAUAAUUAAUCGAGUUUUAAAAAUUCGGGGUAUUACAGAAGGUUCGAUGAUGAGAACAUAAAUCUCCACUUGGCAACGUAUCUCCUGUAAAAUAACGAAUCUCGAUCACCCUUUUCAUUUCGGCCAAACCUGCUAUUUAUAGAAACCUGCUAAAAAUAGUAACUGCCAUAACGGAUAGUUGUUAAAAGUGGAAAAUCAUAAAAGAUAGAAACCUGUCAGAAUUAGGUGUUGCACUCCAACGUAAAUCCUAAAAGAGAUAGAAUUUACAAAGGGAUUCUAUUCCUAAUACAGUUCGAAAAUAAAGAGUUACAUAUUAAUUAAAUCCUAGCGAACCUAGAGUUCGUAACAGGCCCAGACGCAUUCCGUCAUAAGUUGAUACGCACUAAGAAACUCGGAUAAGUCUCAAAAACUCCGUGAUUAAGAGUCCAAAUCUGACAAAAGGCACGGCUCAGAUCCUAUUUUCAACGCCUGGGUCUGGCCUGGGCGCUGAAAAUACCUGGGGCCGUGUCGCCUCCAAAUUCUUUUUGGAUUCGGAUUCUUAAGAUCUAUCUUUCCACGAACUCUUUCCCUAUAAAUACAGCCUCAAAACCGACGUGAACAGGACACACAAUUCUAUAAUCUGAGUAUUGACUCCAACCCUAAGCCUAAGCCUCACGCUGCGAAAUUGAUCCCGCGUUCUGUUGCAAUCGACCCAAAAGUCGAACAGAACGUAUCCAGUCCUUUGUAGCUGACGAAUUAAGCCUAAAUACUGGAACACUGCUCAGAAACCCGAGAUUCGUUAAAUAAAAGGAGAAAUAGCAAAGCCAAGUGGUUAGUUUUCUGAGAACCGUGACGCACCUCUCAAGGGUGCGUUGUAAUGUGUCCCUUCGCAUGAUUUAAUCGCUUUCAUCACCCUUUUAUAAAAUUGUUAAACUAUUAAUUUGAUUGAUCUAUCACGCCUCAUAAAGAUAAUACCUUGGACAAUUGAACUAUCAUGCUAGGUACCUUAAAUCAAUCUAAAUAAGAUAAUCACGAUCGAUUUAGUGUUAUGUGUUGCAUAUUGCUAAAAUCAACUCAGAAUAGUUUAAUAGUUUAACGCAUGUCCCUUCAAUUAUUUAUGAUGAGCUAGUAAGGAUAACCUGCCUCUGGAGUUAUCGAUGAGCAAUCCUCUCGGUAGUUACAGUCCCCCGAACUCUCAAUCUCUGCCCUGCGGGUGUACGUUGAGCGAUCCCUACACCAGGGAUCACAAGGGAACCUAUGGCCGUCGUGGUCGAACAUAAUUGCACUCCCUUUAUGUCACGAUAACCGGGUUUUGUCAGUUUUUCUCAUUGUCGUUAAAAACUGAAUGGCGACUCCUAUAUUACUAGUCGAUUGGGUGUAAACUCACAGGAAAUCUAACAACACUUGAUCUGGCGACGUCACGCCCACGAGGGACGAGGUCAUGCAUUAGCCUCGUGCUUUUUCGACCCCCUCACAGUGGCGACUCCACUGGGGACGUUAAUGAAAUACUCGUGCUCGUAGGUAAUCAAAAUAGCCGAAGGGUGAAACGAUCCUACUCCGCGUUUAUUUCCUUAUCAAGUUGGGACGACCUGAAGAUCAGCAUAUUAAUGUGAACGGACAGAACCGCAUAACGAAUCUCGGCUCCCUUGGCAUGUUUCAUCUCGGGAGUUGGGACUAAGGAUACCCAUCGCCAACCGGGGGGUGCAUAUGCUUCGAAUGUUGUCCACUCGGCACUUUUCGCUAGUAGUACACCCGUCCCAAACCCAAUCGCUCGCCCACUAAGGUCCCUCUCAUUGGUGCAUGCCCCCUUGGCUUACAUCGUGAUUGGCCUCUUGGGACGAAAUUCGUCUGUUGAAUGCACUACCUCGACCGGGGCAUGUGUUGGAUCUACGAUAGAAGCGGUACCAAGCCAGGCGCAAAUAUUACCCAUAGAAGCCUAUCAUAAACUACGUGACAUAUUAUUUUUGCUUCAUGUUGUAAUGUUAGUUAUGUGUAGCGAAUUACGUGAUUAUAUUGUGAUUGUGUGUGACAAAUAACGCUAGAAAACCAACGACCCUAAAAAUUGCCCAAACAUUCAUAAACACCGAUUGGCCAAAGAGUUAUACCAAAAUACGUGUUCCGUAACCCCGGGCGAUCGCCCCAAAAAUAAGCGACGCCUAGGAUGGCCCGUAACGGAUCCCACAUAGCUGCACGACGCGUAAAGGACGUUAUUAGGCAAGCACGAAAAAUAAGUCGCAUGUACGAAAAAAAAAUAGACGAACAGAAUACGAGUACCAGUCAGGGACGCAUUUUCAGCGCCCCUGGCUGGGCGCCAAUUAUUUCAACACCCCCUGCUGGGCGCUGAAGUUGCUGCUUAGCCUGUUGGCCAGGCACCGCAGCCUCGGUGCCCGCGCACAAAAUAUACGUAGCAAUAAAAAAAAUUCAUGACAAAUUUGCUACGAGGGCGUAUGGAAAAGGUACUCAAUUCUAAAAACGACUUAUAAAAUAAAUAGCUCCUUGUGUCGUCAUUAGGCCUCCUAUGACGGCAAUGUUCGGCAAUGUUCGGCACCAAAACCGAGCUUGCUAAUUAAAAUAACUUUGAAUGUCACACGGGCAAAGAUUUUCGAAAAUAUAAAAGAGUUCAGAGUGCACACAGUAGUCCAAAUGUACUAGUCCCACUUAAGGGUAGUCAUAAAGUGUCUAAGAGGCCAACUCAUAAAAUAAACUAAUGUGUCUCCUACUCCGUAAUGUUAAUACAGGGUCCCUGAAUACCUACCCAUGAUAGCCAUCAAGGAUCGCAAUGGAAGUGGCAUAUCCUGAACAUCCACUCCUAGAGGUCGCACAAACCCAAGAGAUGCAUGCUCUGGGACACGACCCUCUACGUUCUAAAAAGCCACUCGCCUCAAAGAACUACACGAUGCCAAAAGCCUCCCCCAACACACAUGCUUUCGGGCUGUUGUUUAGGUUAGAGAAGAAAAGAACAAGGAGCAAAACAGAAAUCAUGGCAUUGGCCCUUCAAGAUGAAUUAUUUGAUCCCACUAAACUGAUCGCUCCAUCACCCCUAAAGAUCGACCAAACCAAACAAGGGUGGCGCAUGACCUUCAAAUGGACUAAUGCUCGUGAAAUGAAAUUCAAGAUAUCUGCGGGAGAAGGCCCAAUGCGUGAAGAAUCCGAGUCUGAAUUCGAGUCUGAAUCCGAGUCUGAAUCCGAGCCUAAACAUAAUAAAAUUGUAAUCCCUCCCAAAACUAGUUUAGACCCGGAAAUAUCCACUCCAGGAGAUCUUUUUGAUGUAAUGCUUCACGACUUUAAUAAGAUGAACAAAAUUUUUGAGUAUAUGCCGCUUAAAAAUUCGAGUAGUAAUGCAGAAUGCCUCGCCACUAAUGAGCACGAAAAAGAGCCAGAAUAUACCGAAUGAAUAAAAGCUGUAAAUGAACAAGAACUCAAAACCCCCAUAAUUGAGGACACAGAAUCGGUAAAUAUUGGAACAGAAGAAAAUCCUAAAUUCAUUAAAAUUGGCCUCACCUUAACUCCCACUGAAAAAAUCGAUCUGAUCUCCACCUUACGGGAAUUCGAGGGUGUCUUUGCUUGGUCCUACAAAGACAUGCCCGGAAUAGAUCGAGAAAUCGCUGAGCAUAGGAUUCCGCUGGAUCCCAAAAUGACGCCAGUAAAACAAAAGCUGCGACGGCUUAAGCCGGAGAUAGCCUUGAAAAUAAAAGAAGAAGUCACUAAACAAUUAGACGCAGGCUUCAUAAAGGUCUCCAACUACCCAGAAUGGGUGGCCAAUAUUGUCCCUGUAGCUAAAAAAGACGGACGAGUGCGAAUGUGCGUAGAUUUUCGAGAUCUCAACAAAGCCAGUCCCAAAGAUGACUUCCCUCUACCUCACAUUGACAUAUUAGUAGACAACACAGCGGAACAUGCGCUUCUCUCCUUUAUGGAUGGGUACGCAGGAUAUAACCAAAUACUUAUGGCAGAAGAAGAUAUGGAAAAAACAACCUUCAUUACCCCUUGGGGUACGUAUUGCUACACUGUAAUGCCUUUUGGUUUGAAAAACGCGGGGGCCACCUAUCAAAGAACAGCCACCACGUUACUUCAUGACAUGAUACACAAAGAAAUCGAGGUCUAUGUAGACGAUAUGAUCGUCAAAUCUAAAGACCGGCGCGGUCACCUCCCGACACUUAGGAAAUUCUUCACCCGAAUCCUAAAAUAUAACAUGCGACUAAACCCACAAAAAUGUGUGUUCGGGGUAACCUCCAGAAAGUUACUAGGAUAUGUGGUUAGUACACGGGGAAUCGAGAUUGACCCAUCCAAGAUUAAAGCCAUUACAGAAAUGCCCCCACCAAAAACUGAAAAAUAAAUAAGGGGUUUCCUAGGAAAGCUGCAAUACAUUAGUAGGUUCAUUUCUAAGCUUACCAUGACUUGCGAGCCAAUAUUUAAAAAAUUAAGAAAAGAAGAAAAAGCCGAAUGGGAUGAACAAUGCCAAACUGCCUUCGAUAAAAUCAAAGAAUACCUAAGCAAACCACCCGUCCUUUCCCCUCCUUCGCCCGGAAUUCCUUUACGUCUAUACCUCACCGUCACGGAUACUGCAGCGGGAGCUAUGCUCUCACAGUGUGUACAUGGAUCCGAGCGAGCCAUCUACUACUUGAGCAAGAAGUUCAUACAGUACGAGACGAGAUAUACAAAACUUGAAAAAACCUGCCUCGCCCUCGUUUGGGCGUCCAAAAAACUCAGAAAUUACCUAUUAGCCCACACCGUUCAUAUAGUGUCACAACUAGACCCCUUAAAAUACAUGUUCGAAAAGCCCGCACUAAAUGGUCGCUUAUCCAGAUGGCUAGUCAUGCUCUUAGAAUUCGAUCUAAAAUUCAUGCCAGAAAAAACAAUCAAAGGAAGAGCGGUAGCCGAAUUCCUGGCCGAACAUGCUACGAAUGAGGAAACCACGGAAGCUUACCUCCUCCCUGACGAGGAACUUCUGAUGGUACGAGACGACUGUUGGACACUAUACUUCGAUGGAGGAUCCAAUCAAAAGGGAUGCAGUGUCGGAGUUCUCCUAGUCAGUCCCGAAGGGGCCCAUAUACCAAUUUCCGUCAAACUUGACUUCGAGGCCACAAACAACGCCGCCGAGUAUGAAGCCUGCAUAGUUGGGCUAGAGGCCGCGGUUAGCCUCGGAGUCAAACAUCUGCAAGUCUUCGGGCAUUCUUCCCUAAUAAUCAACCACAUAUCCAAAAGAUGGAAAGUCCGAACACUACUACAAAUACCGUGGUUUCACGACGCCUUGGACUCGACGCCAAGGGGAGAGCGUUGAACUACAUGAUAUAGUCCGCGCGUCGUCUCGACGCCUAUCUGCGUCUUCUAAAAUUCUCGAUGAAUAUAGGCGUCGAGAGUUUACUAAAUACCCCAUGUGAGGCGCACGCGUCAUACUUUACAUCCCUCGGAUCCAAAUUGGGGGAAAAUUGUCGGCAUUUAACCCUAAACUGCUAAACACCGCUCGCGCUCUCUCUCUUCCCUGCUUCCAGAUCUACACGAAGAAGCAUUUCUCUGCCUUGAAAUCGACAUGAACAUACAUGUAGUCCUCCGUUGACAUUUCUAACUCAACUUUAAGAUAUUCAAGUAGUUUGUUUCUUUAAUUUAUUUGAAGGCUGGAUUUUGGGGGAGUCUGAAGUGCUUGAGGCAAGGAAGCUGAAAGCAUCUCAUGAGAACAUCGAGCUGUUGAAGGAGAAGUUCAAUGAAGAAAAAAGGCGCAGGGAGAGGGUCGAGGCUGAGCUAGCUAAGUUACAAGAUAUUCAGCGAAGUAUGAAUGUACUCGAGGAUGAAUUGACCUCUUGGAAGAAAGUCAUUAAAGACAUUCCUGGAGUUGAAUCUUCUGAUGAUAUCACCCUGAAGUUUGUUGCUCUGCAGAAGCCAAGUUCGUACAGGAAGUGCUUCAACACAAGCUCUUGAUUGUGCACAACAAGUCUUGGGAAUGGCACAAAAAAGGGUUGUCCAACGUGAUAAGGUGCAAAAGCAGCAUGAAGGCCGAGAGUUGAACUUCAUAUGAGCUACUACCAUCGGUCAUCUAUAUAUAUAUAUUUAGUAUAUAUAGUACAUCCUAGCUAGUUAGUUUUUCUAGGUUUUAGUUUUAAUUUCUUGGGUUUGAUUUAUGAUGUUGUUUAGGACUGUUUGGUUAGGAUUUCGGUUAGUGAUAUAGAUGCAUGUAUGUUUGGAUUCUGGUUAGUAACAUACGUGUACGUACUAUGAAGUUUUUGUAAGUUUAUGAAAAUUCAAUCAGGUUUCAUUGA